rnacentral:rRNA from 1 species
GACGAACGCUGGCGGCGUGCUUAACACAUGCAAGUCGAGCGAUGAAACACCUUCGGGUGCGGAUUAGCGGCGAACGGGUGAGGAACAUGUGAGGAAUCUGCCUUCCACUCUGGGAUAACUCCGGGAAACCGGGGCUAAUACCGGAUACUUUCAACUGGCGGCAUCGCCGGUUGAAGAAAGUUUUUCGGUGGAAGAUGACCUCGCGGCCUAUCAGCUUGUUGGUGAGGUAAAGGCUCACCAAGGCGACGACGGGUAGCCGGCCUGAGAGGGCGACCGGCCACACUGGGACUGAGACACGGCCCAGACUCCUACGGGAGGAAGCAGUGGGGAAUAUUGGGCAAUGGAGGAACCUCUGACCCAGCGACGCCGCGUGAGGGAUGAAGGCCUUCGGGUUGUAAACCUCUUUCAGCAGGGAAUAAGCGAAAGUGAAGGUACCUGCAGAAGAAGCACCGGCUAACUAUGUGCCAGCCGCCGCCGUAA